CGGGUGAGUAACACGUGGGUGACCUGCCCUUAGCUCUGGGAUAAGCCUGGGAAACUGGGUCUAAUACCGGAUAUGACCUCGCGAUGCAUGUCGUGGGGUGGAAAGCCUUGUGCGGCUAGGGAUGGGCCCGCGGCCUAUCAGCUUGUUGGUGGGGUGAUGGCCUACCAAGGCGACGACGGGUAGCCGGCCUGAGAGGGCGACCGGCCACACUGGGACUGAGACACGGCCCAG
rnacentral:rRNA from 1 species